rfam:Triticum urartu cultivar G1812 contig208216, whole genome shotgun sequence.
CUUGUACUCCCUCCGUCCAACAAUACAUGUCAUUGAAAUGGAUGUAUCUAGAUGUAUUUUAGUUCUAGACACAUCCAUUUUGAUGAAAAGUAAUUUCGGACGGAUGGAGUACUUG